AUGAAUUAGAAAGAAAGAGAUCAGGUUAUUUAUGAUCGGAGAAAAGGAAGGGGCGUGGUUGAUGUGUCACUGGGAACCCGUAGGAAGGGGAGACGACCGGCCUCAUUCACAUCUGAAAUCGCCAACAUGAACGCUUUCGAGCACGUACGCUGGCGCUCUUUGAUAGAGCAUUAUCUACAACCCUGA
rnacentral:rRNA from 1 species